rnacentral:lncRNA from 1 species
CACAUCCCCUCCCAGCUGGCAGAAACCCAGCGGGGCUUAGCGCAUUUGUUAGCUGUAAGCCGCAGACAGGUGCUGUUGCUUCCCCACCCAGCACCUUCCCCGGCCUCUCCUGCUCGGGGCCAGCUCCACCCCAGGGAACCAGAGCAGCCAAAACCACCAGCACCAGAAGGAACCCUCAGCACCGAGCCUCGUGCAAGGACCCACAGGGCUCAACCCAUCACUGAGCACCUGGGAUCACGGCCCCAUGCCCUGAAGGGAGGGAGCUGGGAUGCCCAGAAAUCGCCCUGCAGCAAGCAGGGACCCUCAGGACCUCCCUGCACAAACCCUAAGGGUCCCAUGGGGGUGUCCUUUAGCUCUGCGUGGCCCCCACCACCUCGUCCUUGCUUGCUGCUCAUGAGUCCACGAGAAAAUCAUGCAGGACACACGCCGCCUGCUCCAGCAGAAGGGGCAAGAGCCUGGUUUGGUCCCCAGGACCAGCCAGGGCUCCUCUUCCACGCCAAGUGCUUAGUGCACUUGCUGUCACCCGUGCUUUACAGCCCUCAAAAUGAGGAGCAAAUCGGUAUUGAUUUCGGAACAACUGGAGCUGUAAAUUACUGGUCGUGACUGGCUCGGCCAGUACGGAGAUGAGGAUCUAUCGAUCGCACCGAGGGCCUAAAUCUAAUUAGCACGCAAGGAAGCUCGUUGGAGCAGCAGAACCACUCAGAGGUCCUGCGAUGUAAUUAAAGCGGCCACGUUACCUACAGAAGCAGGACAUGCAAAUUGUGGUCCCAGCUGAGCACGAUUCACAACCCGAGGGCUUCCUUCUCAGAGAGGGUGAG